rnacentral:rRNA from 1 species
UACGGAGGGAGCUAGCGUUAUUCGGAAUUACUGGGCGUAAAGCGCACGUAGGCGGCUUUGUAAGUUAGAGGUGAAAGCCUGGAGCUCAACUCCAGAAUUGCCUUUAAGACUGCAUCGCUUGAAUCCAGGAGAGGUGAGUGGAAUUCCGAGUGUAGAGGUGAAAUUCGUAGAUAUUCGGAAGAACACCAGUGGCGAAGGCGGCUCACUGAACU